rnacentral:misc_RNA from 1 species
UGGGUUUGACAUGCCGGGUAAAGCUGGUGAAAGCCGGUGCUCCUUCGGGAGCCUGCACAGGUGCUGCAUGGCUGUCGUCAGCUCGUGCCGUGAGGUGUUGCCUUAAGUGGCGCAACGAGCGCAACCCCUGUUCCAUGUUGCCAGCGGGUAAUGCCGGGGACUCAUGGGAGACCGCCGGUGCCAAACCGGAGGAAGGUGGGGAUGACGUACCCUUCCAUCACA